AUGAGUAUUCACAUACCUGCUGCGCCUUGGUUCAUUUCAGAAGACAGUCGUUACAGAACCACCCACCAAAGGACCAAGCAGCAGAAGAGGAGGAAGCCACAGGAGAGGAAAAUGGAGGAAUGGACCUGGCAGGACGAAAGACAAUUCUGGGCGGACAAGUUAAGGGAGCUAAGGAAACCCGAGAGGCACCCCCAAGAUAAUUUUUUGGGGGGGCACACGGGUAGCUUGGCCAGGCCAGGGAAGAGCCGUAAGCCAGCUACCCGUGACUACAGGGAGGUGCAAUUGAGGUGGAGGGCGCCAUGUUACGCUGUGGUACGCACCAUCUCGCCGAUACGGACGCACAGCCCAGUUCGCCCAGUACCAGCGCCCCGCAGGUGCCAAGGCAAGGGGAGCAUCGAGCCGGAAGGGGUGAUGCCAACCCUACAAUCAAGACCGCCAGCGCGCCCUUUCGGUCCGGUGUUUCCCGCCAGACGCACUAGCAUGGAGGUGCGUGUCUCCGGGCUGGCACGUCCUAUACCAGCCCCACGCAUCAGGAGUCUAGUGUGUCAACCCAGCCUCGCCAGUCAACCAUCACCAGAGCUGCCCGCCAGUCAACCGUCGUCAGAGCUGCCCGCCAGUCAACCGUCGUCAGAGCUGCCCGCCAGUCAACCGUCGUCAGAGCUGCCCGCCAGUCAACAGUCGUCAGAGCUGCCCGCCAGUCAACAGUCGUCAGAGCUGCCCGCCAGUCAACAGUCGUCAGAGCUGCCCGCCAGUCAACAGUCGUCAGAGCUGCCCGCCAGUCAACAGUCGCCAGAGAGGUCAGACUGCGCUGAACUGCCGGAGUGGCCAGACUGCGCUGAACUGCCGGAGUGGCCAGACUGCGCUGAACUGCCGGAGUGGCCAGACUGCGCUGAACUGCCGGAGUGGCCAGACUGCGCUGAACUGCCGGAGUGGCCAGACUGCGCUGAACUGCCGGAGUGGCCAGACUGCGCUGAACUGCCGGAGUGGCCCGACUGCCCUGAACUGCCGGAGUGGCCCGCCUGCCCUGAACUGCCGGAGUGGCCCGCCUGCCCUGAACUGCCGGAGUGGCCCGCCUGCCCUGAACUGCCGGAGGGGCCCUCCUGCCCCCCGGCCCAGCCCGAGGGGCCCUCCUGCCCCCCGGCCCAGCCCAAGUGGUCCGUCUGCCAGGGUCAGCCCGAGUGGCCCGUCGGCCCGGCGCAGCUAUCGGCGCCAUCAAAGUGGGCGACGCCGAAGGUGGAGCGAGGUCCACGGCCUACACCUGAGCCACCUCCAGGAUAG
rnacentral:lncRNA from 8 species